rnacentral:rRNA from 1 species
UAAGUAGGUAGUGAAAGCGUGUGGCUCAACCAUACUCACAUUAUCUAAACUGCUAAGCUAGAAUAUAGAAGAGGUAGCUGGAAUUCCCUGUGUAGGAGUGAAAUCCGUAGAUAUAGGGAGGAACACCAAUGGCGUAGGCAGGCUACUGGUCUAUUAUUGACACUGAGGCACGAAAGCGUGGGGAGCAAACGGGAUUAGAUACCCCGGUAGUCCACGCCGUAAACUAUGGAUGCUA